GUUUUUAGAAUACAGUUCUGGAGAGUUUUUUCUUUGAGGAGAUCUAUACUUAAAGGCUCUGCUCUGAGGAGCAGGUAAGAGAGAAGCUGUUGUGCUGCUCUAAAAGAGGCUAUGGUGGAACAGCUGUUUGCUCAAGGUUGGCAGAAGCUGGGCCUAAUAGCGGGAGCUCACCCCACUCCCCGGAUUCGCACCGCUAUCUUUCAGUCAGCAAUUUCAGCAACUCAGUGGUUUAAUCUGCUGUGCCAUUGGGGGACUUACAAGUAGAGAUCAACAAUUAAGCAAAUAGAAAUCAACAAUUUAUUGUUUGCCUCCUCAUAGCACCAAUUUAUGGCAUUUUCACCCAAUCAAAAAAGAAGAAACAUGAUGUUAAAGAUUUAAUCUAGGACAAAUGAGCCCAUGCAUAAGAAGCAUCAAAUAGCUGCCGAUGUGGAAAGCUGCCUUGAGUCCUCUCCGGGGAUGAGAAAAGCGGGGUAGAAGUACCGUAAAUAAAUAAACAAACCAAUAAAUAAAAACGUAGAACAGAUGUACACAUUAUGCAGAAUGAGAUGUUAGCCUGUGAAAUUUGAAUUCUAGGCAAAAGGCAGGGUAAGACUGGCACAUUCCUCACUGACCCAGCUAUGUCCAGCUUCCUUAAGUGAGAUCCCUCCUUCUAUACAAAUCUUCAUACCAAAAUGAAUGGCACAAACAGGGCAGGAGGUCAAAACUAUUCUCUGUGCAGAAUUAUCCCAAGAAGAACAAUAUGGAAGGUGAACAGCUGGCUGAAAUGUUUAACUGCCUUCAUUAAACAUGCUCCAUGAAUUAAACAGGA